rnacentral:lncRNA from 1 species
UUUAUAAUCACAUUCAUGGAUCUGGGUCUUAUGGUCGGGUUGAAGGAGAGCUGAAGGGACCGCUUCAGCAUCGCUAUUAUUAAGGUCCCAAAUUCCUUCGUAUUUCCCUAGAUAAGUGAACUUUUACCUCCGUGUUUCCUUGAAGUGAUCAACUCGCUCCCAUUAUCUGCCAAUAUAUCUUCUUGAUCUUCGUUUCUGGUACCACGCUUUCCCAUGGCGUUUGAUUAGUAGUGUACACAAAGUUUCCCUUACAGGUUACAUACAAAGAGUUUUUUCAGUGAAAAUUGACAUGAAAUGCUCUGCAGAACAGAACAAGUUUCCAAUGAAGCAUCAUUUUUAUCAUACCCAAUCUACCUCUCCAUUUCUCCAUUUGGAAUGGCCUAUGUAUUUUGGUACAUUUACGUAAUCAAUGCCUGUCUUAUUCCAUUUCUUGGCAUAUUCUUCGUUAUAAGAGUGUCAUUUUCCAUAGUGAUGAUGUUUCCUAAUAUUGUUGCUGCUUCUUUUACAAAACCGGACUCCUCGAAUAUUUGCUCGGUUGCUUCCAUAUUCGUCAUGACUUGAGUCUUUGCGUCAUUAAUCUUCAAACCCGAUCUCUCUUCAAACGCUUUAAAGACUCUGUUGAGACAUUUCCAAACCGACUCAAUUGACUAUUGACUCAUUGAGAUCGUCACAUCAUCUCCAAAUAAUAGAUUGGUCACUAUGGAGAAGAGAGAUGGGAUAAAAGGAUCUCAUUGUCGUAUGCCUCUUUCAAUAUAUAUUUAUGGUUCACCAUCAAUAUCAAUCACUGAUGUCGCUCCUAUAUUUUGAGUUUUGAUAGCCACAAGAUGAUAAAAAAAUCGCUUCGUAUCUCUACCACAUUGAAAUCACCCGCAACAAUAAGGUUUUCCAGUACAAGUGCACCUCCAUCGUCCCUCAUAUAAUUCAUACACGUUUUCUUACCACUAGACAUUACAUAAAAAACCAAAGCUGCAAAAAUUUCCUCUUCAAUAGUUAUUUUAAAGGAUGAUGAGUUUUCAUCAUCAUCUUCGUGCAAAACAAUCACUGGAAUCUCCUUUCAAAUCCAUAUCAUAGAUUGAAUAUGAAUUUGUAUAUUCCCUAUGGUCCAUAUAGACACAUCUCUGGAUAUAGAACCUCUUUUUAUACUUCAGCAUUCGAACAAUAAACACUGCACGACCUUUCUACGAAUGACCACUUAGUUACUUUAGUAAUUUGAGUAUCAGACUUACAAACAUUAUCAGGAUAGUUUAAUAUAUUAAUAAAACCCUUGAAUUUUGACUUA